UGACAUCGCCUGUGCUUCUUGAGGAGGGACGGUACCACUGAACCACAGCUAUGACCGAGGCUGACAUCAAUCCAAAGGCCUACCCUCUUGCAGAUGCCCACCUCACCAAGAAACUACUGAACCUUGUUCAGCAGUCAUGUAACUACAAGCAGCUUCGAAAAGGAGCCAAUGAGGCCACCAAAACCCUCAACAGAGGCAUCUCUGAGUUCAUCGUGAUGGCUGCAGAUGCGGAGCCCUUGGAGAUCAUCCUGCGCCUCCCACUGCUGUGUGAGGACAAGAACGUGCCCUAUGUGUUCGUGCGCUCCAAGCAGGCUCUGGGGCGAGCCUGCGGGGUCUCCAGGCCUGUCAUCGCCUGCUCCGUCACCAUUAAAGAGGGCUCACAACUGAAGCAGCAGAUCCAGUCCAUCCAGCUGUCCAUCGAAAGGCUCUUGGUCUAAACCGGUGGCCUCAGCCGCACUCCCAGCUGACUCCUCUGCAUCCCCACCCCGAGUUAUGUGUCAUAUUGUCUGUUAGCAUGUAGUGUUUCCAGCUACCUUCUGUUGUUAUAAAGUAUUUUAAUGCUCAAAA